UAAAGGUGAGAGGAGAGAGCAAAGUUCCCUUUCUAAUUCGAUUAUUCACCCAAAUGUGCAACGCAUUUCUAUUGGUUUUUGUUUUGGUGCACUUGAAAUGUACAUAUACUAAUAUUUAGAAAUUCCGCACCUGUGUUGGCGGCAGCGACGCCGACCGAGGCAGCGGCAGAGGCUCAAGUGGAAUUGGAAGGGAAAUGUUCAGACAAGAAUUUCAACAUAUUCUUAUAGGAAGAAAUCAACGGUGAUCGUCCCUGCAAAGAAAAACAACUACAAAGCCAAUUCUGUUUUUGCCCCCAAUACAACAACAAUAAUAACAACUAAAAGAACAACAACAACAAAUGUGUGGCGGUCGCAGCUAUGAUAAAGAAGAAGCAGCAUCAUAGCACAAAUACAGGCAAACAUUUUUUUCUUCUCUUUCACCCGAACGUAAUUGCACUUAAAAACCGAUUUUCCUGUGGGAAAAAUCGGUGAAAACGGGCUGGAAGCUACUCACGCGUGGAUUUAAGCACUUGCUGCUCGUUUAUUUCGACAUUUUGUUUGGUUCUUCGCCCCGCAAAUGUGCGUAAAUUGUUUUUCAAAAUUGUUUAUCACGAAAUGCAACACACACAACACACAUUAAAAACAGUGUGACCAUUACUGUCGAAAUAUACUAACUUCCAUUCGAUCUACCAAAGGUAGAGGUGCGCUAUUGUGACUAUCGCUUUGCCGGAAAAUAUCGCCAAGGAAUUCCAAUAUGAAUUAAAAAUUGGUUUUAAUUAACAUAAAUUAGAUAGUAUAAAUAUUAGAGACAGGCUUCA